GACGAACGCUGGCGGCGUGCCUAAUACAUGCAAGUCGAACGCAGGGGGAACGGGUGAGUAACACGUUGGUAACCUCCCAUCAGAGGGAUAACACUUGGAAACAGGUGCUAAACCGAUACUGAUGGAUGAACCCGCGGUGCAUUAGGUAGUUGGUGAGGUAACGGCUCACCAAGGCCACGAUGCAUAGACGACAUGAGAGGGGAAGCGGCCAAACAGGGACUGAGACACGGCCCAGAAUCCUACGGCAGGAAGAAGUAGGGAAUCUUCAGCAAUGGUCGAAAUUCUGACCGAGCAACGCCGCGUGAGUGAAGAAGGUUUUCGGAUCGUAAACCUCUGUUGUUAGAGAAGCGGUAUCUAACCUGAAAGCCACGGCUAACUACGUGCCAGCAGCCGCGGUAAUAC
rnacentral:rRNA from 1 species